CAACGAGCGUUUUUCCUUGCCCGAUGAGGGUUGGGCUCCUGAAACUCCGUCGUGAUGGGGAUAGAUCAUUGCAAUUAUUGAUCUUGAACGAGGAAUUCCUAGUAGGCGCGAGUCAUCAACUCGCGCCGAUUACGUCCCUGCCCUUUGUACACACCGCCCGUCGCUCCUACCGAUUGAACGGUCCGGCGAGAACUCCGGAUGGUCGGCACGCAGGGGUCAAACCCUGUGUCCGUGCCAGAAGCUGUUCGAACCUUACCGUUUAGAGGAAGGAGAAGUCGUAACAAGGUAUCCGUAGGUGAACCUGCGGAUGGAUCAUUUGAAGAACGUCGUCCAUCGGUCGUGACCUACCUCUCCUCCGGGAGGGGCAGAGCACGCUCCGACACCUGAUAGCGAACGGUCGAAGUCCCUUCCCGGGACCUCAAGGACUCCGGUCCUCGAAUCAUCCCGGGGAGACUCCACAACCGUAGCCCCCUCGGCGAAACAUCGAUCGAGGGAGGGAUCGCUCGUCGAUCCUUCCGAGAAACGAGAAUAACCUAGUCGACUACUUUCGACGACGGAUACCUCGGUUCCCACGCCGAUGAAGAGCGCGGCGAAACGCGAUAUGUCGUGCGAAUCGCAGAAUUCGGCGAAUCACGCAAUCCUCGAACGCAUCCGGCGCUCUCGGGUCUUCCCGGGAGCAUGCCCGUCUGAGCGUCGUUCCCAAAAAUCCCAACCCGACACGAUUAAAACCGUGGAAGGACGGGUGAUCGGGAGUCUGCGGAAACGCAGUCUCCUGGGAACGAGGCGCACCACUGGAAGCCCCAUCCGACGAUGAGGGAUCAGGUGCAAAGCUUCCGUCGAGAGCGCCUCCGGGUGCAACUCACAUCGGGAGUCGCAGCCCUGAACCAUUCAACUCGCGUCGACCUUGGGACCAGCUUCCGGCUGGACAGACGCCGUCCGUGGUCCGUGAGACCAGGGUCGGAGGAGUCAAAUCCUCCCCUCUCUAACCACGACCUCAGAUCGGGCAAGAUUACCCGGCUGAACUUAAGCAUAUUAAUAAGCGGAGGAAAAGAAACCAACAGGGAUUCCCCCAGUAGCGGCGAGCGAAGCGGGAACAGCUCAAGCUUUAAAUCGAGGGUCCACAGGGCCUUUCGAAUUGUAGCCUUUCGAGCGCCGGUUGCCGGGUCGAUCGUGUGAGUACGGAGUCCCCUGGAACGGGGCGUCUUAGAGGGUGAGAACCCCAUGACGGACUCAUCGGUCGGUUCGACUGCAUCCGGUGUUCGGCGAGUCGGGUAGUUUGAGAUU
rnacentral:rRNA from 1 species